CCUACGGGUGGCAGCAGUGGGGAAUAUUGCAUAAUGGGCGCAAGCCUGACCCAGCAACGCCGCGUGAAGGAAGAAGGCCCUCGGGUUGUAAACUUCUUUUAUCAAGGACGAAAGAGAUGACGGUACUUGAUGAAUAGGCCGCGGCUAACUACGUGCCAGCAGCCGCGGUAAUACGUAGGUGGCAAGCGUUAUCCGGAUUUACUGGGUGUAAAGGGCGUGUAGGCGGGACUGCAAGUCAGAUGUGAAAACCAUGGGCUCAACCCAUGGCCUGCAUUUGAAACUGGAGUUCUUGAGUGUUGGAGAGGGAGGCGGAAUUCCGGGUGUAGUGGUGAAAUGCGUAGAUAUAUGGAGGAAUACCAGUGGCGAAGGCGGCCCGCUGGACAAUAACUGACGCUGAGGCGCGAAAGCGUGGGGAGCAAACAGGAUUAGAUACCCCAGUAGUC
rnacentral:rRNA from 1 species